CAUCUAUGAUACAAUCACUCCCUCUGACAGUAAUGACAGCGAUGCUGGUGCUGCUACUACUGGAUCAAGUGAUGUGACGUACACACAGAUUCAACUCAAAAGGUUGGACAAGAAAAAGAAAACUGAUCCAACASAAAAUCCAGUCUAUUCUGAGGUCAAGACGGGGAAGACCACAGCAACUGGACCUGUUGAUGUGACCUAUGCUGAGGUUGACCUUAAACAGAAGGCCAAAGCCAAGAAGAA